rnacentral:rRNA from 1 species
CAGCCGCCGCGGUAAUACGGAGGGGGCUAGCGUUGUUCGGAAUUACUGGGCGUAAAGCGCACGUAGGCGGCUUGGUAAGUUAGAGGUGAAAGCCCAGGGCUCAACCCUGGAAUUGCCUUUAAGACUGCCGAGCUAGUAGGUGAGAGAGGUAAGUGGAAUUCCGAGUGUAGAGGUGAAAUUCGUAGAUAUUCGGAAGAACACCAGUGGCGAAGGCGGCUUACUGGCUCAUUCUAGACGCUGAGGUGCGAAAGCGUGGGGAGCAAACAGGAUUAGAUACCCCAGUAGUCCCUGUCUCUUAUAC